rnacentral:miRNA from 1 species
CGAAGAAAAUGAAGUCGUUUU